UUUUUUUUUGGGGGGGGGGGCGGCUGGGGAUGAACCCAGGGCAUCACAUACUAAGCAUGAUCUGCCACUGAGCUACACCCUCAGCUUCCAGCUGAACUUCUGAGACCUCAUAGUUUACCCCUAAAUACACCUGGACUAGAACCACCUUCUGGUCCCCCAGCAAAUAUUUGAAAAUGAGGAGUCCUGGACAUGCAUUGUCCAUCUACAUGCCUGAUCUCUGUACGUGUCAAAUUUGUCCCUAUCACCACCACACUCCCAUUUUGAUUCUCAGGGGUCUAGUUCCUCUGAACUCUUCCCUAAAUUCCCCCUCCCACACCAAAACCAGGGGCUCCUCCACCACAUCUCUCUGCCCUUUGGGUGGCAGCUUCCUCUCUCAGACCCUCCAUAGAGUUUCAGAGGUGUCUGGCCACACAACCCCUGUCUUGAGGGCCAGGAAAAGGGGUUGCUUGGGGUCAGGUUCCCCUUCCUAAGAACUUCCACAUUGUCUAGAGGAAGGAGUCCCUAGGGGCUGCACUGAGUCCUAGCUUUCAAGUGAGAGGAAAAAACAAACCCCAGAUGAGAGCCACUUGAGAAAUGAGAGUUGGAGACAGUGAGGGGACUCCAGGGGUUCUGGGAAAGAGAAAAGGGGUGUUGGAGGCUGGGGAACCCCACAAGGAGAAAUGGCUUCCUUCUCCACCUGUGAUUGGUUCUCAGACUCAGACCAAUACUCCAAACCUGCCCAGCAACAGCCUUAAGAGGCGAAAGAGGGAGGGGAAGGGCUGACGGGUCAGCUGAGCUGCGCCUCCACCCAGCUUGCAGCCUGUUUCCAGGAACUGUGGGGAGCGCUGGGGUUCUGCACUGCACCUCCUCCCCUCCGGACUCCACUUUCAGCCUCCGGCGUCUGCAGACUGGCGUAGGUCCCAUUUCCUUGGUUCCUCGCCUGUUUGACUCCCCUUACAGGAGGUCCUUGGGGACCCACCUGACAUCUCUUUAGACUGGACUGUGACAUCAAGGCUGGACUUUCCCUGUCCUUGACCCUUUUCCUCACUCCUGCGCUGGCUGAAGUCUGUUUCAUUUUCCUUCCCUUCCGUCACUCUUUUUGCCUCCUUCCUCAUCCAGUCUCCUUCCAAGAUGCCCAAAUUCUUCCUUCUCAGCCACAUCCAGCCCAGGGAAGGCCUGAGUCCCAGGGUAGCACUGUGAGGGGAGGAAGACUGAUAGAGAAACCCUGUCCCCCAGGCAGCUCUGGUGUCCUUCACUGGACCCAGUCAUGGGGUUAGACUGUUUCUCCAGGCCCUUUAGCAAUGGUCUUAGCCAGCCGGCAGAGGGGAGGCAGAUAUGGGAAGGUUGCCUCAAUGGAGGGGCAACUACUCCUGUCACCCCUUGGGAAAUCUGGUCUCCAUAAGUAAGGAACUCAGGUGUCAGAACUGCAGGGUCACACCACCUCAGAGAGUUAUUUACCUUGAGAAAAAAAAAAAAAAUGGAGGGGGUGGGGGAGCAGAGGGAGGAGACUAGGGUGAGACACUUCUGAAGAAUGUGUCCUUGGCAGGACAUUCAGUACUGUGGGCGCUCCCUCACCCAGCCCCAAGGCCCUUAAAGGCAGGCCAGGCUCCUCCUCCUCUAAUCAUUUCUUCUUCAAGGGACAGGGGGCCAGAAAUCAUGCCCCCACCCCCACAAAAAGCAAUAAACCAAGAGCUUAACAGGAAAAUUGCUAAUAACAGAAAAGAAGGGGAGGCAGAAAGACAGGGCCAAAGAGAAGAGGAAAACAGCUCCAAAAGGCCAGCAGCCAUUCAGCUCAGCCGCUAUUAAAAAAAGUACUACUGGGGCUGGGGAUGUGGCUCAAGCGGUAGUGCGCUCGCCUGUCAUGCGUGCGGCCCGGGUUCGAUCCUCAGCACCACAUACAAACAAAGAUGUUGUGUCCGCCGAGAACUAAAAAAUAAAUAUUAAAAUUCUCUCUCUCUUUAAAAAAAAAAAAAAAAAAGUACUACUGUGUUCCCAGACUUUACAGAGAGAGCCUCCCAAGAACCCCCAUAGCUCAGGAUCCAAGAUCCCAACUUCACAUCUAAACUGGGAGAAGUGGUGACUCCUAGUGGCCAGUGAGUGACCUGCAAGACUGAGGCUGGCCAGGAUCCUCUCCCUUUGACCCAGGCACGUUUUUUGUUUUUGUUUUGAUAUUGGGGAUUGAACCCAGGGGUGCUUAACCACUGAGCCACAUCCCCAGCAGCCCUCCGCUUUUUACGCAUUUUUUUUUUUAAGAGAGAGGGAGACUAUUUUAAUAUUUAUUUUUUAGUAUUU
rnacentral:lncRNA from 1 species